UACGAAGGGGGCUAGCGUUGUUCGGAAUGACUGGGCGUAAAGGGUGCGUAGGCGGCUUUUUAAGUUUGGCGUGAAAUCUCCCGGCUCAACUGGGAGGGUGCGCCGAAUACUGAGAGGCUAGAGUGUGGGAGAGGAAAGUGGAAUUCCUGGUGUAGCGGUGAAAUGCGUAGAUAUCAGGAGGAACACCGGUGGUGUAAACGGCUUUCUGGACCAUAACUGACGCUGAGGCACGAAAGCGUGGGUAGCAAACAGG
rnacentral:rRNA from 1 species